rnacentral:rRNA from 1 species
CUGCCGGCGACCGGCGCACGGGUGAGUAACACGUAUGCAACCUGCCCUCCGCAGGGGGAUAACCCGGAGAAAUCCGGACUAAUACCGCGUGGUACACCAGUGGGGCAUCCCACGGGUGUUAAAAGGAAGUGAUUCCGGCGGAGGAUGGGCAUGCGGCGCAUUAGCUUGUUGGCGGGGUAACGGCCCACCAAGGCGACGAUGCGUAGGGGUUCUGAGAGGAAGGUCCCCCACACUGGUACUGAGACACGGACCAGACUCCUACGGAAGGCAGCAG